rnacentral:SRP_RNA from 1 species
GCCGAGCUCGGUAAUGUGAGCUUGUAAUCCAAAUGGAGGCAUUAAAGUGGCUGGAAGCGGGCUCAGCCCUUCUGGUAGGGUCUGUUAGGGAAGAUUUACUAGCCCGCCCAUUCCAAGUAGGAUGUUGGGCCAUUGGCUUUGGGCGAAGGCCGAGAGUCAGUUGCCCUUAAAGUGGGGGACACCGCGUGAGGCUGGUCUCACAGAGCAGCGUUACCCCCCGCUUCUGUCGGUGGAAGGAUAACGGGCCGGUUCCCUUGGGCCCAAUAAUACACGAUAGGUAGGCCUCUGACUGACAACCACUUUU